rnacentral:rRNA from 1 species
UACGUAGGGUGCGAGCGUUGUCCGGAUUUAUUGGGCGUAAAGAGCUCGUAGGCGGUUUGUCGCGUCGGCCGUGAAAUCUCCACGCUUAACGUGGAGCGUGCGGUCGAUACGGGCAGACUUGAGUUCGGUAGGGGAGACUGGAAUUCCUGGUGUAGCGGUGAAAUGCGCAGAUAUCAGGAGGAACACCGGUGGCGAAGGCAGGUCUCUGGGCCACUACUGACGCUGAGAAGCGAAAGCAUGGGGAGCGAACAGG